rnacentral:rRNA from 1 species
UACGUAGGUGGCAAGCGUUGUCCGGAUUUAUUGGGUUUAAAGGGUGCGUAGGCGGCCCUGUAAGUCAGUGGUGAAAUACUCCAGCUUAACUGGAGGGGUGCCAUUGAUACUGCAGGGCUUGAGUGGAGUCGAGGUAGGCGGAAUUGACGGUGUAGCGGUGAAAUGCUUAGAUAUCGUCAAGAACACCGAUAGUGUAGACAGCUUACUAGGCUUCAACUGACGCUGAGGCACGAAAGUGUGGGGAGCAAACAGG